GCCAGUAUGGCAUAGUGGUUUGAGCAUUGGACUAUGACUCUGGAGUACAGGGUCCAAUUCUCUGCUUGGGCA